CUUGCAUAUUUACAUGCGCAGAUAGAAAUUAUAUACUUACUUGUGUGGUUAAUUACCAGUUCUAUCUGUUUGCAUCGGUUCGUCAUCAGAUAUAGUAUGUCGAAGGUUACAGUACCAAACAUAAAACAACAAAAACAAUGCUUACUGAAAAGUCAUAGAAAACGUAAAAACAUAAACUGUCUGGAAGGAAGAAAAAAAGAAGAAUUUGGAAAGACGCGCAGGUUCAAAACCAUGAGACCUACUCGGACAAUGGGAUGGAAGUAGAGGAUUGGGAACUCUUGUAAGCAGCCUCAAUGAUCUUCUCUACCAACAAAACUUGAUGAGGCUUCACCGAAGUUUCAAAGGUCUUCGUGACCAAGGCUUCAUGCACCUCCAAAUAGAAUCGACGAUAAUCACCGGCAAUGGUCAUUAAAGUGCUCUUCGUAGGUUUUGGGGGGUGUCUGACAUCGAUGUCGGGAGGUAGGGUCCAAAGGGUUGCAUAAUGAUGGGAGGAAUCGACACCAUAACCUGGAUCCAUGGGAGACAUUCCUUCGUUCAAUUGGGACUCUUGGGGAUCAAUGCCAAACUUCAAAAAGCUACCGCGCGUACCCUUGAUAAUAUAACGCAUGUCCAAACCACAAGAAAUGCUGGAGGAGCACACAAUAACGUCAAGAGGAAGUCUUCCUUCUUGGGGCAGAUAGUGGAGAACGAUGCGGAAGCAAUCCUCCACCUCCAAAGGUGGGAUCUGACGUUGUGAUUCGAGCUUUGCCGUUACGGAAUGGGGAGUGCCAAACAAGGUGAUGGCCUGAUCGAUCAAAUGAGAGCCCAAGUCAUACACCAAACCACAGCCGGGAUUAGGAACAUCCUUCCAAUUACCUUUACGGAAAAGGCGAAAGCGAUCGAUAUGCGACUCGAAUUGCACAACUUCGCCCAAACGACCAUUUUCGAUGCAUUCCUUUGCCGUCAAGAAAUCACCAUCGAAACGACGAUUUUGAUACACGGUCAACAUGAGGUUUUUGGACUUGGCGAGAUCGAACAGCUCCUUGGCCUCGCCGUAGGUGGGAGUGAAAGGUUUUUCACACAACACAUGCUUACCGGCAUUGAGCGCUUGAGAAACGACCUCGUAGUGGACGUUGGGAGGGAGUGAAAUGACGACUAAUUCGAUGUUGGAGUCAGCCAAGAGCUCGUCGAGUUUGGUGUACACCUUUACGUUUGGAAAGGCAGCGCGGGCUUUCGAUUCGGUGCUGGUAGCACGGCGCUCCCAAGCAGCAUAAACCUCGAAAUGGUUGGGUAGCGCCUUUAAGAAGGGAUAGUGGAAGAUAAAGGCAGACAUGCCAGUACCGAGAACGGCAGUUUUAAUAGGCGCCAUUGAGAGUAGUAGGGAGGGGAAUCAAAAGUAAUGUUUCUACAAGAGGAAUGUUAGUAAAGAUGCGACAAGACAGCCACAGGGAAGGGCAAGGGCAAGGGCAAGGUAGAAGAGGAACCAAAGGUGGAUAGAAAGAGCGCGCGCACAAUAUUAAGGCAUCACAAGCGCUCCAUGCGAUGUCAAGUAACGCAUUGCAACUCAACUCAAUCAUGAUGUGUAUUUCCUGAACCAUCUCUAUUCCGCAAUCGCAAUCGCACCCGCGCUUGCACUUGCACUUGUACUCGCCAGCUUACUACAUACCUUGCUUGAAAAAUGAAUAAAAUAUAAUGUAAAUACAGUCGGCCCGCUUGUUAAGCUUGUUUCCUAUGGACCACAAUGGAUUCUAAUGUCAACCUAGCUAGUUGGUUCUUUGCAAAUUCGAUGCGACCCGCGCCCGUUAUCGAUUAAAUAGUCUACACCGCCAUUCGCCCACGUAAGCAAUCAACACACAACCUUUUUCCAUCUCGUUGUUUCAACCUCGUACAACGUGUGUUAAAGCGGGGCCCAUCGGGUACCACGAAGAAAGGUGCAACUUGAGCUAAGAUGCAGCUAUGUAAUGAAUGACGUUUAUUAGUAUAAGCAGGAUGAGUUUACCAUGCAGAUAGGGGGAACGUUUCAGCACGUAAAAGGGAACUAAAGGACACUAUGCUUUAGUAUGUUGUGUUGUGCUAUGUACUACUAUGUGAUAUUAGGUUGUGUAUGCUAUACUGUGCUAUGCUAGUAGCCGAUGGAGAGAGAGAGAGAGUAUGUGCUUGUAUGUCAAGGGAAAUUGUAAACAAAUUUAACUUGCUGGGACUAAAUGAUAAUAUGAAUGUUGAUAUUACUUGGAAAUCCUUCUUCAAUCUCAUUACGCUUGGAUAAAUUUGUUGAACCACGUUUGGAUGAAUGUUUUAAAUUAAAAAGUUUUCUAGCGUUUGAAUCCAUGCCAUCUCUUUCCCUCAUCUCUCUCCGGCUUGACUUUUGCUCGCUUUUGUCUGCUUCCCAAUCACUUGUUUCUAGAACCGGCCACUUCCAUUAUGUGCCUGCCGUUCUUAUUGCUUUUGCCUCUAUAAGAAAAUACUAUGGGUUUGUUUGGUUUGGUCUGGCUUCCAUUUCCGCGCGAUCGCUGUCAGACUAGAUGCACUAAAAUCCCUUGCACAUUAAUUAAGAAGAACU